CCCUCAGUAACGGCGAGUGAAGCGGCAACAGCUCAAAUUUGAAAGCCCGCGGGCGUUGUAAUUUGCAGGCGGAUGUUUUGGGGCGGGCGCUGUCUACGUUCCUUGGAACAGGACGCCGCAGAGGGUGAGAGCCCCGUGCGAUGGCGCCUCCAACCGCGUAAAACUCCGCCGACGAGUCGAGUUGUUUGGGAAUGCAGCUCCAAGUGGGUGGUAAAUUCCAUCUAAAGCUAAAUACUGGCGAGAGACCGAUAGCGAACAAGUACAGUGAUGGAAAGAUGAAAAGCACUUUGAAAAGAGAGUGAAACAGCACGUGAAAUUGUUGAAAGGGAAGGGUAUGCGAUUAGCGGCCAGCAGGAGGUGCCUUCUCGUGAAAAGGCCGUGCACCGUCUUCGGACACCGUGCGCGGAGAUGGCGAGGGGGCGCCUGAGGUCUGCGACUCGAGGUUGCUGGCGUAAUGAUUGCAUACCACCCGUCUUGAACACCGGGGACACA
rnacentral:rRNA from 1 species